rnacentral:lncRNA from 1 species
UUUAUAGGCGUCAAGUUGUCUAUAAUUAGGUAUCAUAACAAAAUAUUUGCUCUAAUACUGUGCAGUUUAUGUUUUCUUGUUUAUUUUCAAUACUUCGAAUCCCUCAUAACUUUCAAAUAUUUCUAAUAUUUAAUAUGGAUAAGGUGAUAUAACGAAGAGAGGUUUUUGGGGGCAGAUACACUUUCAAAUUAUUCUGCCAUUUUUGGAAGCUCGCUUUAUUGCACAAUUUUUCAAGUAUGAAAAAUUACAUAUUUCGAAAUUGCCCAAAGACGCAAAUCUGAGUAAACAAUCCCAUUAAAUAUCCUUCCUCAUCAAGAAACAUCUUACAACACAAUCUCCAAUGAAUAUCAGUUAAAACAUGGCAAUAAUGCAUUUAAUGUCAUUAACUUAAGCAAUCCUCAUCAUCCAAAAGAUCCUCAAGUGUCAACGAAGUGCCACUUGAGUGCUAAAUAGCCAACACAAAAACAACGCAGAGAAGAUUACUUCAAACGGAUCCGAUGUCUUCAGAAGUGAUAUCCCGACGCAUAUUCUCCGCAAGACCCGGGAACAUUUAUUUUGACAGGAUCCUAAUUUUCGUGUAAAAGUGCGUACUCUGAAACAUGACCAACUCUCGAAAUAAUUCAUCCAUAAAAUUUUCAUCGGAUUUCAAAAGAUAGGUCGCCUAAAACAGAAUCCGCCCCGGAUGUAACCUUUUACGAGAAGUGGCUGAAGUACGACGAAUGUCUUUUGAAUGUCUCUUACGCUUAAUACGCAUGUAUCUUAGGUAUUUUAUGUGAAAGACUAUUUGUCGUCUGUUGUUGGGUGUAAAAUGCCGAGAUCUAUAUGGGCAUGAUUGGUGCAUGGCAUAGAUGUGGAGUACUUCAUGAAAGUAAAUGGACAGAAAAAUAAUUUUCGACGGCACUUUUUCAAAAUGAAGAACGUUUAAGCCCAUAUACAAAAGUAGAAAAGUAGUACAAUAAUUUUCGUAAAAGAAAAUCUUAAGUCAGAGUUAUAUGGAACUUAGAACUCAUCGAUGACAUCGGUGAUCUGUAGUGAAUUGAUACUACAGAAUCGACGGCGGGUUGAAACAGCCGAAACUCUGAAGCUGAGGAAACUGAGAAUGAAGAUCCCGAAGGGUCAAAUAACCAGUCGCUGUCCUGCACAAAGUCUACACUGAAGGGGGCGAAACAUCUGGCAUCAUAUUGGACUGCCCUCGAGGAAUGGUUCAAUCAAUUGCACUUAUCGGAUUAUCUAAUUAUGACUUUUCACCUAUAUGAACUUUGAACAUAAAGUUAGUAGGCUAAAUCCGCUAGAAAAUCUGUAGGAAUCAUUUCCGCGAUGACUAUCACUGCUUCAUCUGAUGUUAUUCCGCACUGAAUGCACACUCAGUACAAUUAAACA